GGAAGGACAUCGUCCCCGGUGGGGCGCCCGGACUUCAAAUCCGGUGAGAUGCGCAGCGCGCGUCUGGUGGGUUCGACUCCCAUGUCCUUCCGCCA
rnacentral:tRNA from 1 species